rnacentral:lncRNA from 1 species
CCCAGGCAGGCGCACGGCUUCUGCUCAGGGGGGUUUGGGGCACCCACACCUGUGAGCUGCUGGGCCUCCCUGUCCUAAGCUCUGCCAGGACUCUGCGUGGGGGUUGCACAGUGGUUCCUGGCCAGUAAGACAGACAGGUGACCCUAGAAAUCGAACCAGUGAUCUCUGAGCCUAUGGACUGAAGAUGAAGUGAGGGAACUCUACUCUCCUGGGCCGUGAAUGUGAUGAGUUUUUCUCGUGCUGUGACCUGCAGAUCAGCCCAGGUGGAGAGCUUUUCUGUGCAUUCCCUGAGAGGUGUACCACGUCUGCGGUAGGUCAGCCCCCACCCCACCCCUGCCCCUCUUUCUGGUCAUUCUUCACUUCUGUGGAUACUGUUCUAUCCUAGGGU